rnacentral:rRNA from 1 species
GAUGAACGCUGGCGGCGUGCCUAAUACAUGCAAGUCGAGCGAACAGACGAGGAGCUUGCUCCUCUGACGUUAGCGGCGGACGGGCGAGUAACACGUGGAUAACCUACCUACAAGACUGGGAUAACUUCGGGAAACCGGCGCUAAUAACGGAUAAUAUAUUGAUCCGCAUGGUUCAAUAGUGAAAGACGGUUUUGCUGUCCUUUAUCGAUGGAUCCGCGCCGCAUUAGCUAGUUGGUAGGGUAACGGCUUACCAAGGCAACGAUGCGUAGCCGACCUGAGAGGGUGAUCGGCCACACUGGAACUGAGACACGGUCCAGACUCCUACGGGAGGCAGCAGUAGGGAAUCUUCCGCAAUGGACGAAAGCCUGACGGAGCAACGCCGCGUGAGUGAUGAAGGUCUUCGGAUCGUAAAACUCUGUUAUUAGGGAAGAACAAAUGUGUAAGUAACUAUGCACGUCUUGACGGUACCUAAUCAGAAAGCCACGGCUAACUACGUG